AUCUACUUGAGAAUGAGCCUAUCAACUGGUGUCCUGAUCUAGAUCCAACAGGAUUUUUUACUGUCCAUGGACUGCUGCUGUUACAGUGAUUCUGAAUGCUAGAAAGAUUCUUAGCAGAAGAAAAGACCUAGGAAAGUGCCUUAAGGCUUUUAAGUGACUAAGCUGUGGCAAAUGCUGGAUCACAAAUAAGUAACACUGUAAGAACUUAAUGUGUGUCAACAACAUUGCAAGGGAAAUGUGACCUGAUUGCUUAAUGACUGGAGGAAGCAGAAGUGGUACCGCUAUGCAGAACAACGCCAUCUGUGGUGGAACACUUGUUCCUGGAGAUGCCUU